rnacentral:tRNA from 1 species
GCCGGGGUGGCAGAACUAGGCUAAUGCGACAGAUUCGAGAUCUGUUAACCCUCACGGGUUGUCAGGGUUCAAAUCCCUGCCCCGGCGCCA